CCUUAUCCCACAGAUGGAUGUUAUCUACGAGUGGAUCUUGUGUGGGAUUCCUCGGGGGCAGUAUCAGCAGUUGUUUCAGCUGGGGGCAACAGAACCGUCCACCUGCAGUGCCACCGACUGCCUGCUGGAGGCGCUGCUGUCCUAUGAUAGCCAAACGAGACCACAGCAACACGACUACAACAACCAAUGACACCACAGCACUACGGCUACAACAACCAAUCAGACCACAGCACCAUGUCUAUAACAACCAAUCAGACCACAGCACCAUGGCUAUAACAACCAAUGACACCACAGCAACACGGCUACAACAACCAAUCAGACCACAGCACCAUGGCUAUACCAAACAAUGACACCACAGCAACACGGCUACAACAACCAAUCAGACCACAGCACCAUGGCUAUAACAACCAAUCAGACCACAGCACCAUGGCUAUAACAACCAAUCAGACCACACUACCAUGGCUAUAGUAGGUUUUUAGGGGUGUCUGAUGUGCUUGAGGGGCAGGAGAAGAGGGGGGCUGGUAGGGCUUCAGGGGUAUCUGACGUUCUUGAGGGGGGCAUCCAUUCUGUUCAUGAAAGUGGCACUGAAAGCCAUGGGUUAAUAAGGAAGAGUGGAUUAAAGAUUCCAAAGCAGUUAAAUGGGGCAGUUUGAGGAAGCAGCCUAAUUAAGAGUGGCUUUGCAAGUGGAGAAUUCUGCAGGGAGUUCCGAUUCUAGAGUUCCAUAGUUCCAGCUCAGGGAAUCUGGAACAGUGGAGUCUUUAGAUCUCUCCUGUGACCCAAGAAUGGCAUAGAUAUUCUAGUUCUAGUUCUCAAAGCGCUACAUUUGUAGUCAUCAGUUCAACCCCGCUGUUCUCACUCGAUUGUUGUCCACUGUAUAUAUAUAUUUGUUGAUGGGGUUAAUGUUGACCUCACGUUCAGUAUAUGUUUACAUACUAUACAUUACAUACAUCAGACACAAUCUUCUGCUUAGUUCACUAUUCUGUAGUUUAAAGUGUUUCUGUUUCUGUAAUCUCCAGUAACAAUAUUUUUUUUAAAUCUGUUAAUUUCUCUGGAGAAGCCGUCCGUUUAAAAAAAAAAAAAUAGUGUUCCAGAAUGGAACUGUUUAGUUGAUUGACAGGUUGUUUGAAGUUGUAUGUUCAUAUUAAAAAGUGUUAUUAUUAAGGCUA